rnacentral:lncRNA from 1 species
CCAAUCCCAAAUUUAUUCUAUUUCUAGAUUCCAUUUGUUUCAUACUGUACUAUUACAACAAAAUACAAAAACCAAAUUCAUUCCCAAACUCCAUUACAUCAUAAACCAUUCAAAACCAUUUCUCACAUUUUACUAAUUUCUAAAGCAUAUGUACAUAGUCAUCUCAAGAUUCAAGCAAGUCCGUGACGGCAACUUCGCAUAACAACCAUUUCUAACAUUCCAAUUCAUCAUCUAACAUACAUAAAUACAUCCAAAUUAUUUCAUUACAAUCAUUUAAUCUAAGUCCAAAACAGCUCGGUGGAGUUCAAAUCUUCUAUGCGAUCCAAGUGCCAAUGACACGUUCCAAACAAGCCAUCAUACCUGCAUAAGAAGACAUGUCAUUACUAUUUAGUAUUCAAUUCAUGUGCAUUCUUAAAAACAAAAAAAAAGAAACAAAACAACAAUUGGGACAGGGCAUGAACUUGUGACUGCUGCUUCGUGGAAGUGCAUUUCAAGCAUAUGUCAAACUAUGUAACAAACCUGCAGAGCAUAUCCCCACUUGAAUUCAACCAAAUGUCGGCAUAAAAACCGAUGACAGUUCGAUCAACAAUCCAAUAAGUCAAGGAAAUUUUGUUUCAUAACAAGGCAAUGGUUAGGUAACAAUUAACAAAGCCAUCUUCAGUAACUAACUUAAUGUAACAUGAUUCACUUCACUAAUAGAAAAACAAAUUUUGCUAACUAACAUAAUUCACAUUUUAAAUUAAAGACCAAACCAAUUCCACCUUAUGACCAUCCAAGCUCUUCAACUUAGUUCCAAUUCAAAGCAGAACAACAAUAUAACAUCCAAACAUGGGUUCACAAUUGGACUCUAACUACCCGCCAACAGUAACAAUUCUAACACAUUUUGAUUGACAUCCAAAAUCUCCAAAUCAUAUUCAUACUACAAAAUUUAAGAGCUCUAAU